rfam:Aedes albopictus isolate Foshan contig123748, whole genome shotgun sequence.
GGUUCUGUGGCUUAGUUGGUUAAAGCGCCGGUCUAGCGAAUACGGAGUCGUGGGUUCGAAUCCCACCAGAACGC